CAGUCGCCGCGGGAAUACGGAGGGUGCAAGCGUUAAUCGGAAUUACUGGGCGUAAAGCGCACGCAGGCGGUCUGUCAAGUCAGAUGUGAAAUCCCCGGGCUUAACCUGGGAACUGCAUUUGAAACUGUCAGGCUGGAGUCUUGUAGAGGGGGGUGGAAUUCCAGGUGUAGCGGUGAAAUGCGUAGAGAUCUGGAGGAAUACCGGUGGCGAAGGCGGCCCCCUGGACAAAGACUGACGCUCAGGUGCGAAAGCGUGGGGAGCAAACAGGAUUAGAUACCCGCGUAGUCCCUGUCUCUUAUAC
rnacentral:rRNA from 1 species